rnacentral:rRNA from 1 species
GUGCUAAUCUGCGAUAAGCGCCGGUAAGGUGAUAUGAACCGUUAUAACCGGCGAUACCCGAAUGGGGAAACCCAGUGUGAUUCGUCACACUAUCAUUAACUGAAUCCAUAGGUUAAUGAGGCGAACCGGGGGAACUGAAACAUCUAAGUACCCCGAGGAAAAGAAAUCAACCGAGAUUCCCCCAGUAGCGGCGAGCGAACGGGGAGGAGCCCAGAGCCUGAAUCAGCAUGUGUGUUAGUGGAAGCGUCUGGAAAGGCGCGCGAUACAGGGUGACAGCCCCGUACACAAAAGCGCAUGUGCUGUGAGCUCGAUGAGUAGGGCGGGACACGUGGUAUCCUGUCUGAAUAUGGGGGGACCAUCCUCCAAGGCUAAAUACUCCUGACUGACCGAUAGUGAACCAGUACCGUGAGGGAAAGGCGAAAAGAACCCCGGCGAGGGGAGUGAAAAAGAACCUGAAACCGUGUACGUACAAGCAGUGGGAGCACCCUUUGGGUGUGACUGCGUACCUUUUGUAUAAUGGGUCAGCGACUUAUAUUCUGUAGCAAGGUUAACCGAAUAGGGGAGCCGGAGGGAAACCGAGUCUUAACCGGGCGUUAAGUUGCAGGGUAUAGACCCGAAACCCGGUGAUCUAGCCAUGGGCAGGUUGAAGGUUGGGUAACACUAACUGGAGGACCGAACCGACUAAUGUUGAAAAAUUAGCGGAUGACCUGUGGCUGGGGGUGAAAGGCCAAUCAAACCGGGAGAUAGCUGGUUCUCCCCGAAAGCUAUUUAGGUAGCGCCUCGUGAAUUCAUCUCCGGGGGUAGAGCACUGUUUCGGCUAGGGGGCCAUCCCGGCUUACCAACCCGAUGCAAACUGCGAAUACCGGAGAAUGUUAUCACGGGAGACACACGGCGGGUGCUAACGUCCGUCGUGAAGAGGGAAACAACCCAGACCGCCAGCUAAGGUCCCAAAGUCAUGGUUAAGUGGGAAACGAUGUGGGAAGGCCCAGACAGCCAGGAUGUUGGCUUAGAAGCAGCCAUCAUUUAAAGAAAGCGUAAUAGCUCACUGGUCGAGUCGGCCUGCGCGGAAGAUGUAACGGGGCUAAACCAUGCACCGAAGCUGCGGCAGCGACACUGUGUGUUGUUGGGUAGGGGAGCGUUCUGUAAGCCUGUGAAGGUGUGUCGUGAGGCAUGCUGGAGGUAUCAGAAGUGCGAAUGCUGACAUAAGUAACGAUAAAGCGGGUGAAAAGCCCGCUCGCCGGAAGACCAAGGGUUCCUGUCCAACGUUAAUCGGGGCAGGGUGAGUCGACCCCUAAGGCGAGGCCGAAAGGCGUAGUCGAUGGGAAACGGGUUAAUAUUCCCGUACUUGGUGUUACUGCGAAGGGGGGACGGAGAAGGCUAUGUUGGCCGGGCGACGGUUGUCCCGGUUUAAGCGUGUAGGCUGGUUUUCCAGGCAAAUCCGGAAAAUCAAGGCUGAGGCGUGAUGACGAGGCACUACGGUGCUGAAGCAACAAAUGCCCUGCUUCCAGGAAAAGCCUCUAAGCAUCAGGUAACAUCAAAUCGUACCCCAAACCGACACAGGUGGUCAGGUAGAGAAUACCAAGGCGCUUGAGAGAACUCGGGUGAAGGAACUAGGCAAAAUGGUGCCGUAACUUCGGGAGAAGGCACGCUGACACGUAGGUGAAGUGAUUUACUCAUGGAGCUGAAGUCAGUCGAAGAUACCAGCUGGCUGCAACUGUUUAUUAAAAACACAGCACUGUGCAAACACGAAAGUGGACGUAUACGGUGUGACGCCUGCCCGGUGCCGGAAGGUUAAUUGAUGGGGUCAGCGCAAGCGAAGCUCCUGAUCGAAGCCCCGGUAAACGGCGGCCGUAACUAUAACGGUCCUAAGGUAGCGAAAUUCCUUGUCGGGUAAGUUCCGACCUGCACGAAUGGCGUAAUGAUGGCCAGGCUGUCUCCACCCGAGACUCAGUGAAAUUGAACUCGCUGUGAAGAUGCAGUGUACCCGCGGCAAGACGGAAAGACCCCGUGAACCUUUACUAUAGCUUGACACUGAACAUUGAGCCUUGAUGUGUAGGAUAGGUGGGAGGCUUUGAAGUGUGGACGCCAGUCUGCAUGGAGCCGACCUUGAAAUACCACCCUUUAAUGUUUGAUGUUCUAACGUGGACCCGUUACCCGGGUUGCGGACAGUGUCUGGUGGGUAGUUUGACUGGGGCGGUCUCCUCCUAAAGAGUAACGGAGGAGCACGAAGGUUGGCUAAUCCUGGUCGGACAUCAGGAGGUUAGUGCAAUGGCAUAAGCCAGCUUGACUGCGAGCGUGACGGCGCGAGCAGGUGCGAAAGCAGGUCAUAGUGAUCCGGUGGUUCUGAAUGGAAGGGCCAUCGCUCAACGGAUAAAAGGUACUCCGGGGAUAACAGGCUGAUACCGCCCAAGAGUUCAUAUCGACGGCGGUGUUUGGCACCUCGAUGUCGGCUCAUCACAUCCUGGGGCUGAAGUAGGUCCCAAGGGUAUGGCUGUUCGCCAUUUAAAGUGGUACGCGAGCUGGGUUUAGAACGUCGUGAGACAGUUCGGUCCCUAUCUGCCGUGGGCGCUGGAGAACUGAGGGGGGCUGCUCCUAGUACGAGAGGACCGGAGUGGACGCAUCACUGGUGUUCGGGUUGUCAUGCCAAUGGCACUGCCCGGUAGCUAAAUGCGGAAGAGAUAAGUGCUGAAAGCAUCUAAGCACGAAACUUGCCCCGAGAUGAGUUCUCCCUGAGACUUAAAGUCUCCUGAAGGAACGUUGAAGACGACGACGUUGAUAGGCCGGGUGUGUAAGCGCAGCGAUGCGUUGAGCUAACCGGUACUAAUGAACCGUGAGGCUUAACCUUACAACGCCGAAG